GCCUCCGUAGCUCAACGGAUAGAGCAGCGCCCUUCUAAGGCGAAGAUUGCAGGUUCAAAUCCUGCCGGAGGCACCA
rnacentral:tRNA from 4 species